AGUGAACGCUGGCGGCGUGGCUAAGACAUGCAAGUCGAGCGAGAAGCUCCUUCGGGAGUGGACAGCGGCAAACGGGUGCGUAACACGUAAGCAACCUGCCCUUAAGUCGGGAUAGCCUACCGAAAGGUGGAUUAAUACCGGAUGUGGCAUUUCUUCGCAUGAAGAAAUGCUAAAGCUUGUAAUGGCGCUUAAGGAGGGCUUGCGGCCUAUCAGCUUGUUGGUGAGGUAAAGGCUCACCAAGGCUAAGACGGGUAGCUGGUCUGAGAGGAUGAUCAGCCACACUGGGACUGAGAUACGGCCCAGACACCUACGGGUGGCAGCAGUUUUCGAAUCAUCCACAAUGGGCGAAAGCCUGAUGGUGCGACGCCGCGUGGGGGAUGACGG
rnacentral:rRNA from 1 species